CAGUCGCCGCGGGAAUACGAAGGGUGCAAGCGUUAAUCGGAAUUACUGGGCGUAAAGCGUGCGCAGGCGGUUAUAUAAGACAGAUGUGAAAUCCCCGGGCUCAACCUGGGAACUGCAUUUGUGACUGUAUAGCUAGAGUACGGCAGAGGGGGAUGGAAUUCCGCGUGUAGCAGUGAAAUGCGUAGAUAUGCGGAGGAACACCGAUGGCGAAGGCAAUCCCCUGGGCCUGUACUGACGCUCAUGCACGAAAGCGUGGGGAGCAAACAGGAUUAGAUACCCCUGUAGUCCCUGUCUCUUAUAC
rnacentral:rRNA from 1 species